rnacentral:rRNA from 1 species
UACGUAGGCGGAUUCGCAGGCAUCUUGUGAAAUCCCUCCGCUCAACGGAGGAACUGCAGGGUGAACCGCGAGUCUUGAGACAGGUAGGGGUUGUCGGAACGCUAGGUGGAGUGGUGAAAUGCGUUGAUAUCUAGCGGAACGCCGAAGGAGAAAUCAGGCAGCUGGGCCUGUUCUGACGCUGAUGUACGAAAGCGUGGGGAGCGAACAGGAUUAGAUACCCUGGUAGUCC